rnacentral:lncRNA from 1 species
AAGACUGCUCAAAAUCUCCUCAGAGCUCAGAACUUCAGUUGGAAACCCUGGCCUGAGAAUUCCAACAGAUUUUUAUCUCUCAUUCUAAACUGGUUUAAGAUCAUUUGACAGAAUUUUUCUCUCCUGCCACUUAACUUAUCAGAAAACUAUUCCAAAUCCUAUUCAAUAAUAUUCCCAAUAAUCUACAUGUAAAAAUAAAAUUUAAAUCACAUUUUAAAAAAGAAUUAUUGAGAAGGGAAGAAUGUCUUUGCCAGGAACACCCCAUGGUCAGCAUGGUCCAUAGCAUCAUGAAGAGCUGGAUAUGACUUAAUGACUGAACAAAGGCUGAAUAGUUGCAUUGAUCCUAUGGAUCCUGGUAUCACAUUGAGCUGUGUUAGGAAACCUAUGGAAUUCAUGCAGGAGGGAGCUGUUUCCUUUCACCUCUCCACAAGAGACUGAGAACAUUUCUCACAUCCACCCCUCUGUACAGCAGCCCAAUGGAAGAGCUUCCCUCAUCCACUGUCUGGGUAUUUCUAGGGUGUGAAGGUAUAAAAUGUGAAGUAGAUAUAUACUACUGCUUAUUAUACAUGGCAAGUUGUAUGGCAAGAUUUUUGUGUGUAGAGAAACCACAUGAAACCACUAACAAAUGUUGGCUCUCUUGUCCGGAGAGUAUUGAGUGUGCAAAGGUAGAGUGUUACUAUGCUGAGGAGCACAACAAUAGCUACCACAGUUUAUGUGCUGCUGGAUGGACUUGCAAAACCUUCCUAUUGAAUAUUAAUGGUUGCGAAGAAAAUGGAUACCAGCAUGGAGCUAUCUGUGAAGAUGGAAUUAAUGAAUACAGGUGUGGGUGUCUUCAAGGAGGUGAUGGAUUCUUCUGCGGAAUAAAGACAAAUAUGUGUGUGUCUGAGACCUGUAAAAAUGGAUCUACCUACAUGUGUUUAAAUGACCAUGUCUUCUGGCAGUGUGACACUGGAUUUAUAGGUAAGUGUUUUCUUAGAUAUCUCACUUUUCUUUUUUUAAAUUUUUUCCUUUAAAACCUUUACCAGAAUUCUAUGUUAGAAUUGAUACUACGUAUUGGUUCUAAGGCAGUAAAGUGGUAAGGGCUAGACAAUGGGAGUUAAGUGACUUGCCCAGGGUCACUGAACUCAGGAGUGUCUGAGGUCACAUUUGAACCUAGCACCUAUCAUGUAGAGGUCUUUAGGUCUUUAGGUCUCUAGGCCUGGUUCUCAAUUCACUGAGCUAUCCAGCUGCCCCAACUGUUUAUCUUUCUUUAGAACAGGUUACUGAAAUAUUUCUUUGCCAUCAUAAAUCUAGCUAAAUUAUUGGCAUAAUUUUUUGACUUUAUUAUUUUUUAAAAAGCAAAUACCUUGAUUUGCAAAAGCCAUUUUCACUUCUCUAAUACUUACUAUGCAUGAAAAUGAAACCCAGAAUGCUGGGCAGCACUAUGGAAUGGCAAUAGCCAAGGGUUUCACAGAAAAAUAAGCAGUCAUUUCAUGAAGGAAGUAUGCUUUAUAAGCACUGCACUGAAGAUUUGGCAUUGCCUGUCUAGACAAAUGAUCUAAUUACAUUGUUCUCUGCUUUAAAAACAGAACUUGGGUGUUUUCCUUUUUCUAUGUAGUUUGAUGCUCUUACAUGAAAAAGAGGGGUAAAGGGAAGAAUGACUGAAAAAUAAUUCGUCUGUUAAGUUAUACUGGGAAAUAUAUAAAGCCUGUUAAAAAUAACCUAUUUUUUGUAAAUAAUAUUAUCAAAACUUGCCCAUUAAAAAAAGUACUCUUCUUAUAGCAAUAACUAUGCAAUAU